rnacentral:lncRNA from 1 species
UACAGAAGCAAGGGCUAACUGCCUAUAGAUAACACCAGCUACUCUUCCCAAUAUCUACUUCUCAAAUGGAUCUCAGGAGAAGGGAUUCAGAUGUUCUGGAAGUGCCAGUGGUGUUACAUCUCUUAGAGAGAGAGGUGCAGAUGGCUGUGAACUGCCUUAUGUAUUUCACUUGAAUCCACUUGGUGUUUGUCAUCACAUACAGUAAAAGUUUGUCUCUGGAUAUUUUCUUUUCUUCAGUAGCUAUUAAGGCUAUUUAUUUUUUCUCCAAGAUGAGACUCUAAACUCUGCCACAUAAAUCAGUCAUGGUUCUCUUCACUUUUGUUCACCUAAAAAUACUGCUGUUAUUUAUCCACACCCUUAGCCCUAGAGCCCCAUGAAAUCUCAGCACUACUCAGGCAAUAGCUAGGGCUGAGAGCUAGAUGUCUUACAUUGUUGGCUUCCUUCCUCCCUCCCUCCCUCCC